rnacentral:rRNA from 1 species
UGCGAGUCUUUGUAGUAAUACAAGGCAGACGGCUCAGUAACACGUAGUCAAUCUAACCUAUGGACGGGGAUAACCUCGGGAAACUGAGAAUAAUACCCGAUAGAUCAUUAUGCCUGGAAUGGUUUAUGGUCGAAAUGAUUUAUCGCCGUAGGAUGGGACUGCGUUCUAUCAGCUUGUUGGUGAGGUAAUGGCCCACCAAGGCUAUAACAGAUACGGGCUCUGAGAGGAGAAGCCCGGAGAUGGGUACUGAGACACGGACCCAGGCCCUAUGGGGCGCAGCAGGCGAGAAAACUUUGCAAUGUGCGAAAGCACGACAAGGUUAAUCCGAGUGUUUUCUGCUAAAGAAAUCUUUUGUCAGUCCUAAAAACACUGAUGAAUAAGGGGUGGGCAAGUUCUGGUGUCAGCCGCCGCGGUAAAACCAGCACCUCAAGUGGUCAGGAGGAUUAUUGGGCCUAAAGCAUCCGUAGCCGGCUCUGUAAGUUUUCGGUUAAAUCUAUAUGCUCAACAUAUAGGCUGCCGGGAAUACUGCAGAGCUAAGGGAGUGGGGAGAAGGAGACGGGUACCUCGGUAGGAAGGGGUAAAAUCCUUUUGAUCCUAUUUGAUGACCACCUUGUGGGCGAAGGCGGUCUACUAGAGCACGUCCCGACGGUGAGGGGAUGAAGGCUGGGGGAGCAAACCGGAUUAGAUACCCCGGGUAGUCCCAGCUGUAAACAAUGCAAACUCAGUGAUGCACUGGCUUGUGGGCCAGUGCAGUGCCGCAGGGAAGCCGUUAAGUUUGCCGUCUGGGAAGUACGUACGCAAGUAUGAAACUUAAAGGAAUUGGCGGGGG